UUAAGGUUAAUAAUGUCUCCCUGAGCCCAUGAGAACUGUAAAGUGAACACUGCUGACCUGCAAGGGUCCAAGCGUGGGUCAGUCUCUUGCACACACCAGAAGGGAGACCGAGGGAUGGAGGGAGAGCUGGCUUGAAGUGACAACGAGGAAAAGGUUUACGAUGUGAUGAUGAGGUGGCUGUCUGUCACCUGCCUCCUUGCUGCUGCUCUCAUCUGCAUGUGGUGACCCAGGGCAAGACUUGAGGGAAUCCAGGGAAG
rnacentral:lncRNA from 12 species